GAUGAACGCUGGCGGCGUGCCUAAUACAUGCAAGUCGAGCGAACGGACGAGAAGCUUGCUUCUCUGAUGUUAGCGGCGGACGGGUGAGUAACGCGUGGAUAACCUACCUAUAAGACUGGGAUAACUUCGGGAAACCGGAGCUAAUACCGGAUAAUAUUUUGAACCGCAUGGUUCAAAAUUGAAAGACGGUCUUGCUGUCACUUAUAGAUGGAUCCGCGCUGCAUUAGCUAGUUGGUAAGGUAACGGCUUACCAAGGCAACGAUGCAUAGCCGACCUGAGAGGGUGAUCGGCCACACUGGAACUGAGACACGGUCCAGACUCCUACGGGAGGCAGCAGUAGGGAAUCUUCCGCAAUGGGCGAAAGCCUGACGGAGCAACGCCGCGUGAGUGAUGAAGGUCUUCGGAUCGUAAAACUCUGUUAUUAGGGAAGAACAUAUGUGUAAGUAACUGUGCACAUCUUGACGGUACCUAAUCAGAAAGCCACGGCUAACUACGUG
rnacentral:rRNA from 1 species